UGGGGAAUAUUGCGCAAUGGUCGAAAGCCUGACGCAGCGACGCCGCGUGAGGGAUGAAGGUUUUCGGAUCGUAAACCUCUGUCAGAAGGGAAGAAACCGCACUGUGCUAAUCAGCAGUGCCUUGACGGUACCUUCAAAGGAAGCACCGGCUAACUCCGUGCCAGCAGCCGCGGUAAUACGGAGGGUGCAAGCGUUAAUCGGAAUUACUGGGCGUAAAGCGCACGUAGGCUGCUUUGUAAGUCAGGGGUGAAAUCCCACGGCUCAACCGUGGAACUGCCUUUGAUACUGCUUAGCUUGAAUCCGGGAGAGGGUGGCGGAAUUCCAGGUGUAGGAGUGAAAUCCGUAGAUAUCUGGAGGAACAUCAGUGGCGAAGGCGGCCACCUGGACCGGUAUUGACGCUGAGGUGCGAAAGCGUGGGGAGCAAACAGG
rnacentral:rRNA from 1 species